rnacentral:rRNA from 1 species
UACAGAGGUCCCAAGCGUUGUUCGGAUUCACUGGGCGUAAAGGGUGCGUAGGUGGUGAGGUAAGUCGGAUGUGAAAUCUCCAGGCUUAACCUGGAAACUGCAUUGGAAACUACCUUGCUGGAGGGUUUGAGGGGGGAUUGGAAUACUUGGUGUAGCAGUGAAAUGCGUAGAUAUCAAGUGGAACACCAGUGGCGAAGGCGAAUCCCUGGAAAACACCUGACACUGAGGCACGGAAAGCUAGGGGAGCAAACAGG